GAGUUUGAUCAUGGCUCAGAAUCAACGCUGGCGGCGUGCCUAACACAUGCAAGUCGAACGCGAAAGUGGAGCAAUCCAUGAGUAGAGUGGCAAACGGGUGAGUAACGCGUGGGCGACCUACCUCAGAGUGGGGGAUAACAUUCCGAAAGGAGUGCUAAUACCGCAUGACAUCCUGCCUUUAGAUAGGUGGAGAUCAAAGCCGGGGAUCGCAAGACCUGGCGCUUGGAGAGGGGCCCGCGUCCGAUUAGCUAGUUGGUGAGGUAACGGCUCACCAAGGCUCCGAUCGGUAUCCGGCCUGAGAGGGCGGACGGACACACUGGAACUGAGACACGGUCCAGACUCCUACGGGAGGCAGCAGUGGGGAAUUGUUCACAAUGGGCGCAAGCCUGAUGACGCAACGCCGCGUGGAGGAUGAAGACC
rnacentral:rRNA from 1 species